rnacentral:rRNA from 1 species
UAUGGGGGGGGCAAGCGUUGUUCGGAAUUACUGGGCGUAAAGGGCUUGUAGGUGGCCAACUAAGUCAGACGUGAAAUCCCUCGGCUUAACCGGGGAACUGCGUCUGAUACUGGAUGGCUCGAGUGUGGGAGAGGGAUGCGGAAUUCCAGGUGUAGCGGUGAAAUGCGUAGAUAUCUGGAGGAACACCGGUGGCGAAGGCGGCAUCCUGGACCAUAACUGACACUGAUAAGCGAAAGCCAGGGGAGCAAACGGG